AUACAGAGGGUGCAAGCGUUAAUCGGAAUUACUGGGCGUAAAGCGUACGUAGGCGGUUGGUUAAGUUAGAUGUGAAAGCCCCGGGCUUAACCUGGGAACUGCAUUUAAAACUGGCGAACUAGAGUUGAGUAGAGGGGAGUGGAAUUUCAGGUGUAGCGGUGAAAUGCGUAGAGAUCUGAAGGAACACCAGUGGCGAAGGCGACUCCCUGGACUCGAACUGACGCUGAGGUACGAAAGCGUGGGUAGCAAACGGGAUUAGAAACCCCAGUAGUCC
rnacentral:rRNA from 1 species